CCUGCAGUUGCUCAUCCGGGCUUUUGCCCGGUGCACUCUUCUGCUGUCAGGCCAGCAUCGGUUCGGGCGGUCGGAUAAAGGCUUCGGGAAUGUAGCUCCUCUCGAGGAGUGUUAUAGCCCGUUGCGAAAUGCGGCCAGCCUGAACUGAGGUCCGCGCUUCGGCUAGGAUGCUGGCGUAAUGGUUGUAAGCGGCCCGUCUUGAAACACGGACCAAGGAGUCUAACAUCUGUGCGAGUGUUUGGGUGUCAAACCCGUACGCGUAAUGAAAGUGAACGGAGGCGGGAACCCCUCGGGGUGCACCGUCGACCGAUCCUGAUGUCUUCGGAUGGAUUUGAGUAAGAGCAUAGCUGUUGGGACCCGAAAGAUGGUGAACUAUGCCUGAAUAGGGUGAAGCCAGAGGAAACUCUGGUGGAGGCUCGCAGCGGUUCUGACGUGCAAAUCGAUCGUCAAAUUUGGGCAUAGGGGCGAAAGACUAAUCGAACUAUCUAGUAGCUGGUUCCUGCCGAAGUUUCCCUCAGGAUAGCAGUAACGUUUUCAGUUUUAUGAGGUAAAGCGAAUGAUUAGAGGCCUGGGGGUUGAAACAACCUUCACCUAUUCUCAAACUUUAAAUAUGUAAGAAGUCCUUGUUGCUUAGUUGAACGUGGACAUUUGAAUGUAUCGUUACUAGUGGGCCAUUUUUGGUAAGCAGAACUGGCGAUGCGGGAUGAACCGAACGCGGAGUUAAGGUGCCGGAAUGCACGCUCAUCAGACACCACAAAAGGUGUUGGUUCAUCUAG
rnacentral:rRNA from 1 species